GGCAGUUCUUGGGUGACACCCCUGGAAUCUGGCUCCCUCCUCUCUGGUUCUGGGUGUGUCACCCAAGAAUCACC
rfam:Myotis lucifugus cont2.13578, whole genome shotgun sequence.